rnacentral:rRNA from 1 species
GAUGAACGCUAGCGGCAGGCCUAAUACAUGCAAGACGAACGGUAAGCAGUGUAGCAAUACAUUGCCCAGAGUGUCGUACGGGUGCGUAACACGUAUGCAACCUACCCAUAACAGGAGUAUAGCUCCCCGAAAGGGGAAUUAACCCCCCAUAGUAUAAUUGAAUGGCAUCAUUUGAUUAUUAAAACUGAGGUGGUUAUGGCUGGGCAUGCGUCUGAUUAGCUAGUUGGCGGGGUAACGGCCCACCAAGGCGAUGAUCAGUAGGGGAACUGAGAGGUUGAUCCCCCACACUGGCACUGAGAUACGGGCCAGACUCCUACGGGAGGCAGCAGUAGGGAAUAUUGGUCAAUGGGUGAAAGCCUGAACCAGCCAUGCCGCGUGCAGGAAGAAGGCCCUAUGGGUUGUAAACUGCUUUUGCCAGGGGAUAAAACGGCUCUGCGGAGCUAAUUGAAGGUACCUGGUGAAUAAGCCACGGCUAACUACGUGCCAGCAGCCGCAGUAAAAC